rnacentral:misc_RNA from 1 species
CUUUCUGGUCCUGGGAGCAGCCAGCGUGGAGCUAUUGAUGGUGGGGCUGAAAUAGAUCCACUUUCCGGAGUUGGUAGUGGAAUGGGUUUCAAUGCUCCUUCAUCAUCAUUUGUACCGUCAAGUAUGGUAAGUCCUGGUCCAUCUGGUCAAGUUCAGGGACAGCAAUUUUCAAAUCCUUCUGGCAAUCAGUUGUUACUGGAUCAACAGCAACCCCAACAACUUGAAGCUCAAAGUGUCCAGCACAGUCAGCAACCUAUGCAACAGUUCCCUGCCCCGCAUAAUACCCAGGUGCAGCAGCAACACCAAUUUCAGCCAAUUCGUGGAGGAAUAGGGAGUGUUGGGCCUGUCAAGUUGGAACCUCAGGUGACAAAUGACCAACAUGGAGCACAGCAGCAACAGCCACAGCAACUNGCCACAGCAACUGCAGCCAUUUAGAAAUCUUGGUCCAGUAAAAUUGGAACCUCAACAAAUUCAGUCUAUGAGAAGUUUAGCAACAGUAAAAUUGGAACCUCAACAUUCAGAUCAGUCAUUGUUUCUGCAUCAACAGCAGCAGCAACAACAACAGCAGUUCCUUCCGAUGUCAAGGCAGACUUCUCAGGCCGCUGCUGCUGCAACAAUUAAUCUUUUACAUCAACAAAGACUGUUGCAGAUGCAACAACAACAUCAUCAACAGCAACUCUUGAAAGCAA